rnacentral:rRNA from 1 species
CUACGAGCUGUUUUAGCGGCGGACGGGUGAGUAACGCGUGAGCAACCUGCCUAUCAGAGGGGGACAACAGCUGGAAACGGCUGCUAAUACCGCAUAAGACCACGCUAUCGCAUGAUAGAGAGGUCAAAGAUUUAUCGCUGAUAGAUGGGCUCGCGUCCCAUUAGGUAGUUGGUGAGGUAAUGGCCCACCAAGCCGACGAUGGGUAGCCGGACUGAGAGGUUGAACGGCCACAUUGGGACUGAGACACGGCCCAGACUCC